AUACGAAGGGUGCAAGCGUUAAUCGGAAUUACUGGGCGUAAAGCGCGCGUAGGUGGUUUUGUAAGUUGGAGGUGAAAGCCCCGGGCUCAACCUGGAAACUGCCUUUGUGACUGCAAGGCUAGAGUACGGCAGAGGGGCAUGGAAUUCCGUGUGUAGCGGUGAAGUGCGUAGAUAUGCGGAGGAACACCGAUGGCGAAGGCAAUCCCCUGGGCCUGUACUGACGCUCAUGCACGAAAGCGUGGGGAGCAAACAGGAUUAGAUACCCUGGUAGUCCACGCCCUAAACGAUGUCAACUGGUUGUUGGGUCUUCAUUGACUCAGUAACGAAGCUAACGCGUGAAGUUGACCGCCUGGGGAGUACGGCCGCAAGGUUGAAACUCAAAUGAAUUGACGGGG
rnacentral:rRNA from 1 species